rnacentral:rRNA from 1 species
ACGGAGGGUGCGAGCGUUGUUCGGAAUUAUUGGGCGUAAAGCGCGUGUAGGCGGUUUGUUAAGUCUGAUGUGAAAGCCCCGGGCUCAACCUGGGAAGUGCAUUUGAUACUGGCAGACUUGAGUACGGGAGAGGGUAGUGGAAUUCCUGGUGUAGGGGUGAAAUCCGUAGAUAUCAGGAGGAACACCGAUGGCGAAGGCAGCUUCCUGGACUGAUAUUGACGCUGAGACGCGAUAGCGUGGGGAUCAAACAG